rnacentral:rRNA from 1 species
GUGGGGAAUUUUGCGCAAUGGGGGAAACCCUGACGCAGCAACGCCGCGUGCGGGACGAAGGCCCUCGGGUUGUAAACCGCUUUCAGCAGGGAAGACAAAAGACGGUACCUGCAGAAGAAGCUCCGGCUAACUACGUGCCAGCAGCCGCGGUAAUACGUAGGGGGCGAGCGUUAUCCGGAUUCAUUGGGCGUAAAGCGCGCGUAGGCGGCCGCCUAAGCGGGACCUCUAACCCCGGGGCUCAACCCCGGGCCGGGUCCCGGACUGGGCGGCUCGAGUGCGGUAGAGGAGAGCGGAAUUCCCGGUGUAGCGGUGGAAUGCGCAGAUAUCGGGAAGAACACCGAUGGCGAAGGCAGCUCUCUGGGCCGUCACUGACGCUGAGGCGCGAAAGCUGGGGGAGCGAACAGGAUUAGAAACCCUUGUAGUCC